GUCGAGAAUAAUUCACAAUGGACGAAAGUCUGAUGGUGCAACGCCGCGUGGAGGAUGACGGUCUUCGGAUUGUAAACUCCUGUCAUCCGGGAGUAAGACCUGGCUGUGAAUAGCAGACAGGGUUGAUAGUACCGGAAGAGGAAGGGACGGCUAACUUCGUGCCAGCAGCCGCGGUAAUACGAAGGUCCCGAGCGUUGUUCGGAAUCACUGGGCGUAAAGGGAGCGUAGGCGGCGUGGUAAGUCAGAUGUGAAAUCCCGGGGCUCAACCCCGGAACUGCAUCCGAUACUGCCGUGCUAGAGGAUUGGAGAGGUAGCUGGAAUUCUUGGUGUAGCAGUGAAAUGCGUGGAGAUCAAGAGGAACACUCGUGGCGAAAGCGAGCUACUGGACAAUAUCUGACGCUGAGGCUCGAAGGCCAGGGUAGCGAAAGGGAUUAGAUCCCGAGUAGUCC
rnacentral:rRNA from 1 species